rnacentral:rRNA from 1 species
GACGAACGCUGGCGGCGUGCCUAACACAUGCAAGUCGAACGGAGUUAAGUUUUCGGAUUUAACUUAGUGGCGAACGGGUGAGUAACGCGUGAGGAACCUGCCUUUCAGUGGGGGACAACAGUUGGAAACGACUGCUAAUACCGCAUAAUGUUAUUUGGGGGCAUCCCCGAAUAACCAAAGAUUUAUUGCUGAAAGAUGGCCUCGCGUCUGAUUAGCUAGUUGGUGAGGUAACGGCCCACCAAGGCGACGAUCAGUAGCCGGUCUGAGAGGAUGAACGGCCACAUUGGGACUGAGAUACGGCCCAGACUCCUACGGGAGGCAGCAGUGGGGAAUAUUGGGCAAUGGGCGAAAGCCUGACCCAGCAACGCCGCGUGAAGGAAGAAGGCCUGGUGUAAUCUUACAGGACGAAGAACGUGACGGUACCUGGAGAAAAAGCAACGGCUAACUACGUG